AUUCAAUUCAAUUUUAUUUGUAUAGCGCUUUUUACAAUAGACAUUGUCUCAAAGCAGCUUUACAGAAAUAUCAACACGGUAUACAGAUAUUAAAGGUGUGAAUUUAUCCCAACUGAGCAAGCCACUGAGUGGCGACGGUGGCAAGGAAAAACUCCCUAAGAUGUUUUAAGAGGAAGAAACCUUGAGAGGAACCCGACUCGGAAGGGAACCCAUCCUCAUCUGGGUGAUGCUGACAUUGUGUCUAUUCCGGACAUCGUUGAUGAAAUUAAGUUUCUGAACAAGGCAAGCGGAUCGAACUCGGGCGAAGCGGCUCCGCGAGUCAGGUCGGAUAACUCCGUGUUCAAUGAGGACUCGCUCGAGCUUCACAUGGUGCGGCUAGAACUGGAGGAUUUGGAGAAGCAGAUCCGUGGCCUACUCAACAAGCAGGCCCAGCUGCUGGAGCGACAAACUGAGCUGGAAACAUCUUGUGCCUCUGCCCACAUAUCCAAGGUAAGCACACAGCAUGGUAUUUUCACUCCCAGGCCCUCUACGUCGUGUGUUUUUGUGCAGGGACCGUGCACCUAGGACUUUCCCAGCCGUGGUCUCCGUCACGCCGCCGCCAACACUCCUCAGGCCUUGGGUGAACCAGUGGCGGAAGGCGCGGGCUGGACCACAGGUGAGGAGCUCUCCACCUCCGGUGUUCGAGAUUCCAACCGGGAACCGCUUCGCCCCUCUCCGUCAGACCAGACCUAACGCUGUGAUCGUCGGGGACUCCAUUGUGCGGAACGUCCGUGUAGCCUCAUCUAAAGGUGAUGACUUUUGAUGAAAAGUGAGUUUCUAGACAUAAAAUGUCACUUUUUUCACCUUAUCACACUUUAACAUCAACUUUUACAUUUUAAUGUAAACAAUCAUAUUUCCUAAUAUUUUUGGUCAGAAACAGUUCAUAGUACUAUAUUAUGCGUAACUAUGUGAAAAGAAUCAUAUUGGAGUAGGUCGGGCAAUUGAUUAUAUGAGUUUGUUAGAAAAACCACUUUCCUUUGCUCCUAGCGCCUUCUCAAUCGCUGUAUAAGCGUUUUGAGCGGAUAAAGAGCGCAAGUGUGUAAUGGG
ensembl:lncRNA